ACAACUCUAAACGGGGGAUCACUCGGCUCGUGCGU
rnacentral:rRNA from 1 species